rnacentral:lncRNA from 1 species
AGGUGCUGCGGGCUCUGCCGAAAGCGCUGAAAUAAAAAACCAUCGCCACUCAGGGAGAACUGAGGCAAGUGGGGCUGAGACUCUGGCGACACCCCCGCCCCCCAGCCUCUGCCCCAGCGCCUGCCGCCCUGCCGCCCUGCCGCACCCCGCCUGCUUGGGUGGCGACCGCGGUUCCGGAACGCGAAGCAGGGCAGAGGGCUGCAGAGAGGCGUGUAGCUUUGUGCGCCAGGACCCGGUGGGGCAGGUGGCAGCCCCGGGCUGUCCGCGCCUCCCAGCAGAGCCGAGCUCGGCGCCGCCCACCGAGCCCACCUCGCGGUCCAGCCGCCGCCAGCGCCUUUCGGCUCUGGCCUGAAGCAGUACUCCCGCCUCCUGGAGCGAGCGGCCGCGGCAUGAAAGGCGGCGAGGAGAGGCAGCACUGCUGCUCUUGACUUCUGAGCAGGGCUUAGAGAGCCUGCCCCGGCUUAAGCCGAGCUGCUGGUGCUGACCCUGAGCGCCGAGUCCGCGAGCUCUGAGUCCGGAGCCUCCCAGCCGUGGAGCCGUGGGAUGAGGGGGGCGUUGGGGGACAGGGCAAAGUCGAUCUUGGUUGUACAGCCGCCCGAUCCUAGCGCGGAGCUGCGAGCCUGACCGGCCGCGUCUGGCAUGGUCAGAGAAAGAAUUUUCUUUUCCCAACUCCGGCUUUUGGUUUUGUGUGUCCACCUUGCGCAACUCCGGAGCCAGCCGACCCCACAUGGAUUCUCAACAGGUGGCCGGCACAUCUUCUGAGCCUCGCUCUCUCAUCUGAAAGUGGAGUGUAAGUCCAAGAAGAUUCAUUUAGACAAAGAAGGUGGAAAAAAAGGACUUUCUGGGCCAGCAAGUCGGAUGACCACCCUCCAAGGGGCAGAGGAGGGCCCAUUUUGUGAAGAAGAAAUCAACUACCCGGAAAACGCCACAGGAGGACAUGUUUCUGCAGAUGUAGUUGCCCUAGAAACAGAAGAGUAUGGGGGUGUGAAUGUCUUCUCUUUUGGGGGCAAACACUAUGUCCUUUUCUUUUUCUAGAUACAGUUAAUUCCUGUGUCAACGCGCUAGAGAGGCCGUCUCACCUCCAAAGGUAUCUUCACUCCCGGAGGGCCCGGGCUCCCAGCCGCAGUCCCACACUGGGCCCGCGCGCCGGAUACGAGGUGCUCCGACGGCAAAAAUCCCAUACAUUUUUAACUACAGUGAUUACUAAAUUAAUAGCAGGCACUAAGACAGAUGUCAAAACGUCUUGAAAAUGUUUAUCUGUGAAUAAUUGAGAAGGUGGUGGGACGCAUUAUCUGAUUGUGUAAUGAAAUAUGUAUGAGGAACAGCUGUUUGCAACAGUCCCCUCCCGCCGCCUCCUCAGCCAAGGCCCUUCUCUAGGAAGCAGGAGUCGCGGCGAAGUUGGUCGCCUACUUCCGUCCACUUGGGAGCCCUCGCGGAAAGUCUGGAGACUCACCAAGCUGAGGAGGAAGAAGGGAACAUCUCAACCCAAGCUGAAUUCUGAAGAACACUUGGCCCCAUCUUCCAGAAAUCCUAAAUCACAUAGAGGGAAAGUUUUGGCCAGGGCACCAAGAAUGAACCAGAAGCUGAGUCCAUUACUCCAAUUUUCACAUUAACCAGGAGACACAUUGAAAAUUCUUUUCUUGAGUGAGAGACUGAAAUUUUGGCUCAAGGGUGUUUCUGUUGGGUCUUCUCUUUAUAUGGCAUGUGAGGACUGCAUCCCACGUCACAUCUGCAGCCACUCCCAGAUUACACUGCAAGGGAGGGUAGAUUAGGAGUGGGUAGGGAGUAGAGGGGUCUGUAGACACAGCAAAAGCAGCAAGCUGGUGUGGGAAAACCCAGAAAAUAUGUCUCAGAGACAGCCAGUGGCUGCACAUACAAAAGGAAGGCACCUACCUGGAAGAGAAGGGGUUGUGAAGUUCUGCCCAGAGUCACAGCGCUGACGUCCUCAGAAGGUCUCCAGCCCUCUGCAGCAAUCUAUAGUAUGCAUCAGUAUGGUUGGAAAAGCUUCUUCUAUCAAGUUUAACAACUUUCUGGUGUAACUUCUGAGAGGGCUGAUUGCUUAUUCAUGCGGAAGCAAGACGCCCAGUUCAUUUUGCCCGUUUUUGCUACUCUUUGUUGGGUUUGGGAGGCUGUUAUGGUAGCUGCAAAUGGCUUCUCAAGUGACAUUUGCUGACAUUCAGUGAAGUACAUUUAUCAGUAUUCGCCAGCUCACCUCUACACAUGCAAUCCAUUUUGUUUUGUUCUUCAUAGCAAACUCCUUUCCGACACCCGUGCCCUGAAAAUGAUAAAUGGCAAGGUGGCAUAUUUCUGAAGCUGCACUCAAGUGUCACUGUGAAAAAUCUUUAAUGGACUAAGUGUAGCUUUUCAUGUUACAGCUUGUCAGGUUUGAUCUCCUGUCUCUUGGGUUGAGAAACCAUCCCCUCUGACUCCUGGCCCCCUGUGACCCCUCCAAAGCCCCCUGUACAGGUCUUUGGCCACACAGAGAUUCAACAGUCUAAUAAUCUAAAAUUGUAAAUGCCACA